rnacentral:rRNA from 1 species
CCUACGGGAGGCAGCAGUGGGGAAUAUUGGACAAUGGGCGAAAGCCUGAUCCAGCAAUGCCGCGUGAGUGAUGAAGGCCUUCGGGUCGUAAAGCUCUUUUACCAGGGAUGAUAAUGACAGUACCUGGAGAAUAAGCUCCGGCUAACUCCGUGCCAGCAGCCGCGGUAAUACGGAGGGAGCUAGCGUUGUUCGGAAUUACUGGGCGUAAAGAGUACGUAGGCGGUUAUUCAAGUCAGAGGUGAAAGCCCGGGGCUCAACCCCGGAACUGCCUUUGAAACUAGAUAACUAGAGUCUUGGAGAGGUUAGUGGAAUUCCGAGUGUAGAGGUGAAAUUCGUAGAUAUUCGGAAGAACACCAGUGGCGAAGGCGACUAACUGGACAAGUACUGACGCUGAGGUACGAAAGCGUGGGGAGCAAACAGGAUUAGAUACCCUGUAGUCACGCCGUAAACGAUGAUAACUAGUGUUCGGUCACUUGGUGACUGAGUGACGCAGCUAACGCAUUAAGUUAUCCGCCUGGGGAGUACGGUGCAGAUUAAAACUCAAAGAUAUACGCGNGNGNGNGNGACGAGACGACGAGAGAG